GUCCCUCUGGUAGGGGAGAUAACUUGAUCAUGAAGGAGAUUUUCCCAGGACGAGGCUCAUCCCUUGCACUCUAGGUGUGCUGAACCCUGCAAUUUCCCCAGAUGCGGACAACUCGACUGCCUAAUUUGUGGUAGUCAGGUAGUCAGACAACAUCUGU